rfam:Dipodomys ordii contig_24636, whole genome shotgun sequence.
GGUGGCUCAGUGGUAGAGUGCUUGCCUUGCAUGCAUGAGGUCAUGGGUUCGAUUCCUCAGCACCA